UGAAUGUGUUCCCUCUUAGUUAUCAGGGACUGAAGUGUGUUUAUUCAUUGAGGUUUUGAUACACAAGUCUAUUCGAUGCAUUUUUUGACUUAACAAGCCUGCAAAAAUAUAACAUUUCUUACUUCAACCAAUGAUGUUACUAUACGGGUUCUAUAUGGGUUUAUUUAACCAGUGUGAUUUUCUCCCUGAAUCUCUAUAGUACUUCAGGUUUUUUCCUGUCUUGGUGAAGGAUAAAGCUGAGUAAAUAUUUAGUAAUAGAUAAUUAAUUCAACCACUUCUUGUCCAUCUCCUCCAAGACACUCAUUCACUGGAUGUUGUUCAAGAUUCAACAAUUCUUUAUCUUUAGUUAGCUACUAAACUAUUUUCUAUAGUUUGACACCUGCAAUGUGAACAGUUUUGAAUGGACAUAAGCCACAUUAUAUUGGCCUGAUGGGGUAGAAAUACUCUUGCUUUCUCUCUUUUUUUGCUUAGAAGAUUCCCAAGAAAACAUUAUAUAAAUAAAGCAUAAACUCAAAGGAAGCACACUGACUCUCCAGUGCAGGACACUCCGGGAAAGCAGUUACCCACCUCUCCUGUAGAUACUGAGGUUUGCAUUAUAUAUUAAGAGGAUAGUGCCUGAGGGUCCCAGCCUGUAAUAUGGCAUUUCACAGCCGUGCUCAGUCCCUGAGGUCACUUCUGUACCCAGCCAGAGCUCAGUGACCGCAGUCAGCUCCCACUGUGUCACUGCCAAUUGCAUGCUUGUAUUCAGGGAAAUGAGAGACAUAAACCACAUUUACUAUACACAUGAAGUAUUUGCUUAACCCAUUCCACAAUGAACUAGCAAACACAGAGAAGUUGCCAUCUGUUUUCUUUUUUUUUUACCAGUUACUACCCAACUCAUGCUAUCAUCUGUAUAUGCCUACAGGCCGAGUCUCUGUUACAUGUGUCAUUCACAGACAACAAAUGUCAACAUCAUAAGCUACACACAAACAGGCAGUUAACCUUAUACUCAAAGCUUAUACACAAGCUCUUAUACCCAACCUUAUACACAAGCUUUUCCAUUCUUCCAUAUGACACUGACAAUAAAAGUGCCUUAAACCUCCUUCUGAUAAAGUGCUUUCUGUGCAGUAAGCGAAACAGAAACAACAUAGCAAAUUUUACUACCUCAGAUACAGCUGUGUUACAAAGGCGCGUGUGGUUUGGCGGUGUAAUCUUUGAUAAAGUAUUAAAUGGCAAAGAAAGCUUCUUAAGUUAAUCAGGGCUUAAUUUAAAUAAACAAGCCACCCAAAGAUUAACCAAAAAUCCUCGAUGGAAUCUGAACACAAAAAUAAUCUACUCACAAAGUUCUGGGCCAAGUUCACAAAAGCAACUGUGCUAGGAUGAAACUGGCCCACUGACCCCCUUAUUGGCACCCCAAUGAAAAAGAUACUGAUUUUCUAAAACACCAACAAAAUCAUUUCCAGCUCUAUUAAUGCAAACAGCAGUUUUGGCAUCGUCACAACCACAUAUGCUACUACUGCAGGUGAGGAGAAACGGAGGCGGCGGCAGUGGGAUGAAUCCAUUUCUGUGAUGGAGAGGAAUCAGCUGAAUCCUCCAGGAAGAGAUCUGGACCUGCCUGAGCCAAAGCCCAUGGUGUUACCAACCAAUUUCACAGCAACAGCAGAAAUCCCCCCAGCAGAACCCUACAGGAUAGGGAAGCACUCAGGGUGAGAGCAGCAGUCCUGUUGGUACCUUCACUGCAACAAGCCAUAGCUCCAAAGAGCGGGGCUCCUUGUAGCCUGUCACUUACAUGUGUGCAUAAAUAUUCACA
rnacentral:lncRNA from 1 species